rnacentral:lncRNA from 1 species
GCGUGUAUGCGAAGUAGAGGGUCUGCACUUUCAGGCCUCUACGAAUGUUUGUUUCAGAUUUUUGAGGAUUUGAUCUCCUAUUCUACUGUUAAUCAGGUAAGGAUUUGAUCUUUAUUCAUGUAAAUUAAUAAAAAAAAUUUAGAUGCAGCCUGAGCUAACCGAAGAGAAAUAGUUUUCCUUCCCUUCAAGUUGGUGAUUGAAUCCUGAAGGUUAUGCAUGACGAUAGGGUGAUAUUGGAGGGAAAGAAGAGGAUGGGAGGAUAUUACUAUUUGACUGGAAGCUUAGUAUGAGAUGAAGCUUCAGGAGUCAAGGGGAGUCCAGUGUGAGGUGGAGCUCCAAAUGGAGGUGGAUCGGGCACGAGAUGCGAGACUCAGGAGGACAAGAGGCGAUAUCACAGAGUGAAGUUCUUAUUGCCGCAGGAGAUUUCUCCAAGCAGAUCUUUGGUCAGAGUGGACACAGCCCAUGAUGGAGGUGAGAUCGAGCGAUCUGGCUCGAUUCCCACGUUUGUCCAUCCAUGAGACAGUAAGCAUGCCCCAGGGUGUGGGGCGAGAUGGAUCACAGGCUCUUAGAGACAAGUGGAGGUAGAAUAUCGAGUCGAGAUAGAGAUUGUUAAGAAAAAUAUCUCAAGAUUCGAUCCAUAAUAAGUCCAAAAUGAGGUUCAAGAUGAAAAACAAAAUUCAAAGAGCCCAA